rnacentral:rRNA from 1 species
GAGUUUGAUCGUGGCUCAGGAUGAACGCUAGCGGCAGGCUUAAUACAUGCAAGUCGAGGGGCAGCAUAGUGUAGCAAUACAUGGGUGGCGACCGGCAAACGGGUGCGGAGCACGUACAGAACCUUCCUUCGAGCGGGGAAUAGCCCAGAGAAAUUUGGAUUAAUACCCCAUAGGAUAGUGGAGUGGCAUCACUCAGCUAUUAAAGAUUUAUCACUUGAAGAUGGCUGUGCGUCUGAUUAGGUAGUUGGCGGGGUAACGGCCCGACCAAGCCAGCGAUCAGUAACUGGUGUGAGAGCACGACCAGUCACACGGGCACUGAGACACGGGCCCGACUCCUACGGGAGGCAGCAGUAAGGAAUAUUGGUCAAUGGAC